UUGCUUUAGGAAUGAAUGAUGUCCCUUACAUACAAAUAUCAUUUUCACUUUGUUAGCAAAUCUUGUUCAAUGUUUUGCUGAUCAUUAUACGAUGAAACAGUU